rnacentral:rRNA from 1 species
ACCCUGGAGUGGGGGAUAACGUAGCGAAAGUUACGCUAAUACCGCAUACGAUCUAAGGAUGAAAGUGGGGGAUUCGCAAGGACCUCAUGCUCCUGGAGCGGCCGAUAUCUGAUUAGCUAGUUGGUAGGGUAAAAGCCUACCAAGGCAUCGAUCAGUAGCUGGUCUGAGAGGACGACCAGCCACACUGGAACUGAGACACGGUCCAGACUCCUACGGGAGGCAGCAGUGGGGAA